ACCAUGAUGCUGUAAUUUGUACCAUGCAUAUGUAGUAUGUAGUAUGUAUAAGUAUAUGUAUUAGCUAUUUCAUGAUUGGCAUGAUACAGUAAUGUGUAUCAUGCAUGUUUAUUAUAUGGUUUAGUUUCUAUAUGCAUAUUUAUGUAUGUAUUAGGGUCAAUAAGAUAACUAUUUAUGUGUUCGCUAAUGCCAUUUAUGAUGUAUAUCUGUAUAUACUAGCAGUAUACUUAGGCAAUAUUUUGUUUAUUUAGGUUCACUAAGAAUCAGAUGUUUUAGUAGCUGUUGGACUAUUCUGCCAGCGUCCCUGAGACGAGGGCGUUUUGUUAUAGUUCAGCCAACUGGGGAUCUCCUUAUCCCACGUCACCAGCGCCGAAUAAAUCCCUGAAACCCCACACAA